rnacentral:rRNA from 1 species
CCUACGGGAGGCAGCAGUGGGGAAUAUUGCACAAUGGGCGAAAGCCUGAUGCAGCAACGCCGCGUGAGCGAUGAAGGCCUUCGGGUCGUAAAGCUAUGUCCUCAAGGAAGAUAAUGACGGUACUUGAGGAGGAAGCCCCGGCUAACUACGUGCCAGCAGCCGCGGUAAUACGUAGGGGGCUAGCGUGAUCCGGAAUUACUGGGCGUAAAGGGUGCGUAGGUGGUGUCUUAAGUCAGAGGUGAAAGGCUAGGGCUCAACCGUAGUAAGCCUGUGAAACUGGGGAACUUGAGUGCAGGAGAGGAGAGUGGAAUUCCUUGUGGUGCGGUUAAAUGCGUAGAUAUUAGGAGGAACACCAGUUGCGAAGGCGGCUCUUUGGACUGUAACUGACACUGAGGCACGAAAGCGUGUGGAGCAAACAGGAUUAGAUACCCGUGUAGUC